UAGGGAAUCUUCCGCAAUGGGCGAAAGCCUGACGGAGCAACGCCGCGUGAGUGAUGAAGGUCUUCGGAUCGUAAAACUCUGUUAUUAGGGAAGAACAAAUGCGUAAGUAACUAUGCACGUCUUGAUGGUACCUAAUCAGAAAGCCACGGCUAACUACGUGCCAGCAGCCGCGGUAAUACGUAGGUGGCAAGCGUUAUCCGGAAUUAUUGGGCGUAAAGCGCGCGUAGGCGGUUUUUUAAGACUGAUGUGAAAGCCCACGGCUCAACCGGGGAGGGUCAUUGGAAACUGGAAAACUUGAGUGCAGAAGAGGAAAGUGGAAUUCCAUGUGUAGCAGUGAAAUGCGCAGAGAUGUGGAGGAACACCAGUGGCGAAGGCGACUUUCUGGUCUGUAACUGACGCUGAUGUGCGAAAGCGGGGGGAUCAAACAGG
rnacentral:rRNA from 1 species